UACGUAGGGGGCAAGCGUUGUCCGGAUUUAUUGGGCGUAAAGCGCGUGUAGGCGGCCAGGUAAGUCCGCUGUGAAAGUCGGGGGCUCAACCCUCGGAUGCCGGUGGAUACUGUCGGGCUUGAGUACGGAAGAGGCGAGUGGAAUUCCUGGUGUAGCGGUGAAAUGCGCAGAUAUCAGGAGGAACACCAAUUGCGAAGGCAGCUCGCUGGGACGUUACUGACGCUGAGACGCGAAAGCGUGGGGAGCAAACAGG
rnacentral:rRNA from 1 species